rnacentral:rRNA from 1 species
AUUGAACGCUGGCGGCAUGCCUUACACAUGCAAGUCGAACGGUAACAGGUCUUCGGAUGCUGACGAGUGGCGAACGGGUGAGUAAUACAUCGGAACGUGCCUAGCAGUGGGGGAUAACUACUCGAAAGAGUGGCUAAUACCGCAUGAGAUCUACGGAUGAAAGCAGGGGAUCGCAAGACCUUGUGCUACUAGAGCGGCCGAUGGCAGAUUAGGUAGUUGGUGGGAUAAAAGCUUACCAAGCCGACGAUCUGUAGCUGGUCUGAGAGGACGAUCAGCCACACUGGGACUGAGACACGGCCCAGACUCCUACGGGAGGCAGCAGUGGGGAAUUUUGGACAAUGGGCGAAAGCCUGAUCCAGCAAUGCCGCGUGCAGGAUGAAGGCCUUCGGGUUGUAAACUGCUUUUGUACGGAACGAAAAGCCCCGGGUUAAUACCUUGGGGUCAUGACGGUACCGUAAGAAUAAGCACCGGCUAACUACGUGCCAGCAGCCGCCGUAA